rnacentral:rRNA from 1 species
UACGUAGGGGGCAAGCGUUGUCCGGAUUUAUUGGGCGUAAAGAGCGUGUAGGCGGCUUUACAGGUCCGUUGUGAAAACUCGAGGCUCAACCUCGAGACGCCGGUGGAAACCGUAAAGCUAGAGUCCGGAAGAGGAGAGUGGAAUUCCUGGUGUAGCGGUGAAAUGUGUAGAGAUCGGGAGGAACACCAGCGGCGAAGGCGGCGCUCUGGGCCGGUACUGACACUGAGGAGCGAAAGCGUGGGUAGCAAACAGG